rnacentral:rRNA from 1 species
GGGUUGUGAGGUUAAGCGACUAAGCGUACACGGUGGAUGCCCUGGCAGUCAGAGGCGAUGAAGGACGUGCUAAUCUGCGAAAAGCGUCGGUAAGGUGAUAUGAACCGUUACAGCCGGCGAUGUCCGAAUGGGGAAACCCAGUGCAAUUCGUUGCACUAUCGUUAACUGAAUACAUAGGUUAACGAGGCGAACCGGGGGAACUGAAACAUCUAAGUACCCCGAGGAAAAGAAAUCAACCGAGAUUCCCCAGUAGCGGCGAGCGAACGGGGAGCAGCCCAGAGUCUGAAUCAGCUUGUGUGUUAGUGGAACGGUCUGGAAAGUCCGACGGUACAGGGUGAUAGUCCCGUACACCAAAAUGCACAGGCUGUGAACUCGAAGAGUAGGGCGGGACACGUGGUAUCCUGUCUGAAUAUGGGGGGACCAUCCUCCAAGGCUAAAUACUCCUGACUGACCGAUAGUGAACCAGUACCGUGAGGGAAAGGCGAAAAGAACCCCGGCGAGGGGAGUGAAAAAGAACCUGAAACCGUGUACGUACAAGCAGUGGGAGCACCUUCGGGUGUGACUGCGUACCUUUUGUAUAAUGGGUCAGCGACUUAUAUUCUGUAGCAAGGUUAACCGUAUAGGGGAGCCGCAGGGAAACCGAGUCUUAACUGGGCGUUAAGUUGCAGGGUAUAGACCCGAAACCCGGUGAUCUAGCCAUGGGCAGGUUGAAGGUUGGGUAACACUAACUGGAGGACCGAACCGACUAAUGUUGAAAAAUUAGCGGAUGACUUGUGGCUGGGGGUGAAAGGCCAAUCAAACCGGGAGAUAGCUGGUUCUCCCCGAAAGCUAUUUAGGUAGCGCCUCGUGAAUUCAUCUUCGGGGGUAGAGCACUGUUUCGGCUAGGGGGUCAUCCCGACUUACCAACCCGAUGCAAACUACGAAUACCGAAGAAUGUUAUCACGGGAGACACACGGCGGGUGCUAACGUCCGUCGUGAAGAGGGAAACAACCCAGACCGCCAGCUAAGGUCCCAAAGUCAUGGUUAAGUGGGAAACGAUGUGGGAAGGCACAGACAGCCAGGAUGUUGGCUUAGAAGCAGCCAUCAUUUAAAGAAAGCGUAAUAGCUCACUGGUCGAGUCGGCCUGCGCGGAAGAUGUAACGGGGCUAAACCAUGCACCGAAGCUGCGGCAGCGACACUAUGUGUUGUUGGGUAGGGGAGCGUUCUGUAAGCCUGCGAAGGUGACCUGUGAGGGUUGCUGGAGGUAUCAGAAGUGCGAAUGCUGACAUAAGUAACGAUAAAGCGGGUGAAAAGCCCGCUCGCCGGAAGACCAAGGGUUCCUGUCCAACGUUAAUCGGGGCAGGGUGAGUCGACCCCUAAGGCGAGGCCGAAAGGCGUAGUCGAUGGGAAACAGGUUAAUAUUCCUGUACUUGGUGUUACUGCGAAGGGGGACGGAGAAGGCUAUGUUAGCCGGGCGACGGUUGUCCCGGUUUAAGCAUGUAGGCUGGUUGUCCAGGCAAAUCCGGAUAAUCAAGGCUGAGGUGUGAUGACGAGGCACUACGGUGCUGAAGUAACAAAUGCCCUGCUUCCAGGAAAAGCCUCUAAGCAUCAGGUAACAUUAAAUCGUACCCCAAACCGACACAGGUGGUCAGGUAGAGAAUACCAAGGCGCUUGAGAGAACUCGGGUGAAGGAACUAGGCAAAAUGGUGCCGUAACUUCGGGAGAAGGCACGCUGGUGUGUAGGUGAAGUCCCUGCGGAUGGAGCUGAGACCAGUCGAAGAUACCAGCUGGCUGCAACUGUUUAUUAAAAACACAGCACUGUGCAAACACGAAAGUGGACGUAUACGGUGUGACGCCUGCCCGGUGCCGGAAGGUUAAUUGAUGGGGUUAUCCGUAAGGAGAAGCUCUUGAUCGAAGCCCCGGUAAACGGCGGCCGUAACUAUAACGGUCCUAAGGUAGCGAAAUUCCUUGUCGGGUAAGUUCCGACCUGCACGAAUGGCGUAAUGAUGGCCAGGCUGUCUCCACCCGAGACUCAGUGAAAUUGAACUCGCUGUGAAGAUGCAGUGUACCCGCGGCAAGACGGAAAGACCCCGUGAACCUUUACUAUAGCUUGACACUGAACAUUGAGCCUUGAUGUGUAGGAUAGGUGGGAGGCUUUGAAGCGUGGACGCCAGUCUGCGUGGAGCCAACCUUGAAAUACCACCCUUUAAUGUUUGAUGUUCUAACGUUGGCCCCUGACCGGGGUUGCGGACAGUGUCUGGUGGGUAGUUUGACUGGGGCGGUCUCCUCCCAAAGCGUAACGGAGGAGCACGAAGGUUAGCUAAUCCUGGUCGGACAUCAGGAGGUUAGUGCAAUGGCAUAAGCUAGCUUGACUGCGAGCGUGACGGCGCGAGCAGGUGCGAAAGCAGGUCAUAGUGAUCCGGUGGUUCUGAAUGGAAGGGCCAUCGCUCAACGGAUAAAAGGUACUCCGGGGAUAACAGGCUGAUACCGCCCAAGAGUUCAUAUCGACGGCGGUGUUUGGCACCUCGAUGUCGGCUCAUCACAUCCUGGGGCUGAAGUAGGUCCCAAGGGUAUGGCUGUUCGCCAUUUAAAGUGGUACGCGAGCUGGGUUUAGAACGUCGUGAGACAGUUCGGUCCCUAUCUGCCGUGGGCGCUGGAGAAUUGAGGGGGGCUGCUCCUAGUACGAGAGGACCGGAGUGGACGCAUCACUGGUGUUCGGGUUGUCAUGCCAAUGGCACUGCCCGGUAGCUAAAUGCGGAAGAGAUAAGUGCUGAAAGCAUCUAAGCACGAAACUUGCCCCGAGAUGAGUUCUCCCUGAGACUUUAAGUCUCCUGAAGGAACGUUAAAGACGAUGACGUUGAUAGGCCGGGUGUGUAAGCGCAGCGAUGCGUUGAGCUAACCGGUACUAAUGAACCGUGAGGCUUAACCUUACAACGCCGAAG